rnacentral:rRNA from 1 species
GCAGCCGCCGCGGUAACACAGAGGGUGCGAGCGUUAAUCGGAUUUACUGGGCGUAAAGCGUGCGUAGGCGGCUUCUUAAGUCGGAUGUGAAAUCCCUGAGCUUAACUUAGGAAUUGCAUUCGAUACUGGGAAGCUAGAGUAUGGGAGAGGAUGGUAGAAUUCCAGGUGUAGCGGUGAAAUGCGUAGAGAUCUGGAGGAAUACCGAUGGCGAAGGCAGCCAUCUGGCCUAAUACUGACGCUGAGGUACGAAAGCAUGGGGAGCAAACAGGAUUAGAUACCCCAGUAGUCCCUGUCUCUUAUAC